CCCGGCGCAACUAACCAACCCCGGCGCAGGACGCGCCAAGGAAUCACGAGAAAAGAGCAGGAAACCCCCCGUCGCCCCGGAGACGGUGCUCGCGACGGGGGCGUCGUCCUCUUGUACUAAGUCAAAACGACUCUCGGCAACGGAUAUCUCGGCUCUCGCA
rnacentral:rRNA from 1 species